rnacentral:lncRNA from 1 species
UGUCUUCUUAGAAGUUUCCCUAGCUACACACUAAAUAUUCUCAAUAAUUACCUUCAGUAAAUGUUACAUUUAAUGAUUUCCCCAAAAAAUCUGUUUAAGACAACUUACAACCCAACAUUGUCUUAAACAGAUUCAUUCAAACAAUCAAAGUAAAAGAUCAUUUGUUAACAGUAAAAAUGCACCUUUCUUUGAAAAUAUUGCACACAGAAAUAGUUCACAACUAUUAAGAGGAACACAGUUUUUAUAUUAAUGCUGUAAGUAUAUAAAUAUGACUAGGCAAUCAUCUGAACU